CCUACGGGAGGCAGCAGUGGGGAAUAUUGCACAAUGGGGGAAAGCCUGAUGCAGCGACGCCGCGUGAGUGAUGAAGGACUUCGGGUCGUAAAGCUCUGUCAUCAGGGAAGAAAAUGACGGUACUUGAGUAGGAAGCCCCGGCUAACUACGUGCCAGCAGCCGCGGUAAUACGUAGGGGGCGAGCGUUAUCCGGAAUUACUGGGUGAAAAGGGUGCGUAGAUGGUUUGCUAAGUCGGAGGUGAAAGGCGAGGGCUCAACCCUGGUAAGCCUUUGAAACUGGGAAGCUUGAGUGCAGGAGAGGUAAGUGGAAUUCCUAGUGUAGCGGUGAAAUGCGUAGAUAUUAGGAGGAACACCAGUGGCGAAGGCGGCUGUCUGGACUGUAACUGACGCUGAGGCACGAAAGCGUGGGGAGCAAACAGGAUUAGAUACCCUUGUAGUC
rnacentral:rRNA from 1 species